rnacentral:lncRNA from 1 species
AUUUUACUUCGACAAAGGUUGAAGUAUGUAGCAGGCGAGGGGCAGAGACAAGUGCAGCUAUCUCUUUGAUCACAUCGCUUUAAACAUUUUUCAGCUUUAAGCUUGUCUUACAAAUCAGCUCUAUCAGUCUAUUAAUUGUUUCACUGUACCUAAUAUCUUACGCGAAGGCACCUUGAAAAACAGCAGAAGAAAGCACAUUUGUUUAAGUCCUGCGGUGGCUAGCACGGCAGCUAAUCUCCUUGCAAAUUAUAAUCAUAGUUGUAGUUCAUCCAUUAGGCUGGAAAAGACAAGAUUCCCAAGUGGCCUUGGUGCCUUUUCCAGUUCCCGGGAGACCCACCAACCCCCGGCGUGUGUUGCCUGCGCACCCGGAGCGUUCUUGCUAAUCAGUGAGGAGCUCAACAUAACAGGGAAAAGGAGCACAGGAUGCAGCUACUUGGAGGGUGUUGAUUGAAAACUUCGAUCUCCCCACCCCAUUCACGGUUGAUUUGACGGAUUUCUCACCUCGUUCACAGAAAAUUUCAAUUAAG